UAGGGCGAGGUUUCGUUUAUCCCAUCUCUCUCCUCUCACCUGCCUCUCUCCCCCUCUCACUUUUCUCGGUAAUUUUGUUGAGGAGAUCUGAGCCUCUCUCCCCGUCUCACUUUUCUCUCUCCUCUCACCUUCUUUUCUAGGUCUUCCUAGGUUACAAUUCCUCGCCGUCGUCCCUCUUUAAUGGCGACUAUGAGGUCAAUCGGAGGGAAAUGCAGAGCUCUAUUGGCGGCAGCAAAUUCCUUCACCACCGCAUCAACGACCGCAACUGGUGCUGCAAAAAGAUCGAAGCCUCCUUUCUGCAAAAAUAAUAGAGGUAUUUUGGUCUCUCUCGCUGCUCUCUCACCUUCAGCGACUUGGAACUACAUCAAGCUUCACAAUCUUCAGGGAAGAAAUGUACUACAUUUACGGAAAUUAGGGAUCAAUUCGCCAAAUACGUGAAAAAUACUCAUAAGAUCACCACCUGAAGAAUAAGAUCGAGCUCCUUAGCACACCGAUGAUGUCCUCAAGGUUUAACACUUUCAAAAGAAUCUGGAACUGAAACAAAGCCAGAUCGGUGUAGCAGCCUCAAUGACUGCAAAUUAGAGGGUUGUCCACGUGUGAACGGAAUCUGCCAGUGUCAUUAAACCGGGGUGGCAGAAGAAGCUUAUUCAAAGAUACCAGCUCAACUAAAUGACAAUGCCAGACUUCAAUGUUAUGGAGACUGUAAAUGCAAACAAACCGAAGUUGAAGUAGCCUAUCAAACCCUAGAUUUCCCGCCUCCAGUUGUUGUCUUCGCAUCUUCUCCUUCCCGCUGCUCUUCUCCAUCUCCGCGAUCCCCUUUUCCCUCAAUUGUCUGGAUCUGACUUCGGAGACUCCUUAUACAAAUCUGAUUUUCGAAGCCAAAUAUGGAAGCCCAGCUUUAUAUAAUUCUAUGUUCAUUUUCCGAAAUAUGACAGAGAUAUUGUAUUGAUCGAUAUUAAGGUUCCCGGGUUGCCGUAUGCUGUUGCUAAGUGUGUUGCAUCAUCUCUGUUGGUACAUUGUCAAUUACCGCGAAGCUUAUGGUCACAUAGCAACAAGUGUGCUGCAUCAUCGUCGGUACACUGUCAAUUACCGCGAAGCUUAUGUUUGGUCCAAAUUAUCCUAAUUGAAACAAAAACAAAAUCAACCUGCCAUGGAAGAACUGCAGAUCUAGGGUUCCAGUGAAUCAACUCUGCAACUUCAACUUCCUCUCUCCUAAAAUCGCACUCUCUCUCCUCAACAAUGGCACGAACGAAGAACACCGCUAAGAGUUCCACCGGAUGAAAAGCCCCACCGUUUCCCUUUCUUUGAGAUUAUGUAAGUGUAUUUUUCAUAAUCAAUUUCACACUCAAUUUGCAGAUCUAGGGGUUCAGUUCCUUCGCAUAUACCGUAGGUCACGUUGUACUUUUGAAAUUACUCAUUUGAUGCACGAAAAAUUUGCAUUUUAGUUAUCUCUUGAUAAUUUUAGUUUGGAUUUGUGGUACCUUAGUGUGUGGCAUGCUUAGUUAAGAAUUAAAUUAGUUAAGGAUUUCUCUUAUUUAGUUAUGUUUUUUUGUGUUUAGUUUUCACUAUGAAUUAGUGAAUGCAUUGUUACAUUUAGUUAUUAUUUUUCUUUGUUUAGUUAAGCUUUGUGCCUGUCAAUGUUCCAUGGCUUCUUGCUCUUCAUUACCUUGCCCUUGACUUCUUUUUUGCUUGAUCUUUUGAUUAUCUGCUGGUAGAGAGACUGAGAAAAGUUACUGAGAGAAUGCUAGGCCUUUUUUCGGCACAUGAUAGAGAUAUUAUCUAUAGUAUUGUUUGGGAUUUGCCUCAUCAAAAACCCACAAAGAUUCUAUGGCUUUGCAUAGUUGGAUUCACAACCUAUUUUUUUAUGUGUUUUACUUAUGACCUGUUUGAGCUUGAUGAGACUAUACAAUUGAGAAUAGAAAAUGGCACAAAGCAAAUGCCUUGAAAAAAUAGUUUCCAAUCAUCUCUAAUUUUCAAAUAUUGGCGUGAGUUCCUACAAGGAGGAAAGUGUUAAUUAUGUUCCAAUCAACUCAACAAAAUUAAACAAUAAACAAAAGCAACAUGGGUAUUAAUGUGGAUAUAGAAAUAUUAACGUACCCCUGCAGACUGGAACAUGUUUUGUACAAUAAGUCUUUCCCUCUUAGGAUCCACAAGUGAUUCCCUGAAAGCAUGAUUUCCUAAACAUGACUUAAAAGACAUGGUAGGCAAAGUACGAGAGAGUCAGGAUUCAGACGUAGACUUGGGUAAAAGUGGGGUCAGAGCAAGUGGUUUACUGCCAUUUUCAGAAUACUUGCUUCUUUUAACAUCUCAUUUAAAUUGACAUCUAUUUCCAAGCUUUGCAUGCCUUCAUUGACAUCCUGGCAUAACUUCUCCGAGGUAGAAUAAUUUAUUUCUGGUUUCUAAAAUUAAUGGUUUGCUGGUUUUAUGUAACCUGCUCUUUGUAUGCAGCUUUUGGGAUGCAUGAAAUCUACAUAAACCCCUUUUGGGUUUGCUCUUUUCUGAAUUGUAUAUGUUGGGUCGGAUAAUUUCAACACGGCAUUGUUGUAAAUUCUGCAUUUACCCUUCCUCUUCAGGUUCCUGUGACAAACUUAGGUGACAGUGGUUUGGAUACUCUCUCUAACUCAACGGUAAAGCAUUUAAAGUCUUUUGAGUUUAGUACAAAGUUUCUGGAUGUGACGAGUCUUAUAGAGGAAGUAUUAUUUUGCAAUUUGUAGGAUCAGAUUUGCCCUAUUCACCAGUUAUGCAGUACUCUGGAAAAGAAACUUGAUAGUGUCAUUGAUGUUGAAACCUUUGUGAAUCAUGGAUUAUUAAUUAUGCUGCCUCUGAUAGCAAUUACAACUUGGUUGUCACGUUGAACAUAAGAUUCCUUAUUGCGUAUUAUUCAUUUUCAUUUCUUUGCUUUCUAUUCUCGAGUUUAAUUUGUUCCUGUUGUUGUAUGUUCAGCUGCCACACAUGCUUUUCACAAGCAGCCAACAGCUCAACAUAUGCAGACUCGAGUAAAGCAGUUGCAGCUCAACAACUUUCUCAAAUCCUCAUACAAACAGCUGGGAAGUCAGCAGCUGAAAGGAAAGAGCCUAGAAGUUUCUGUAAUGCAGUCGAAGAUUGUUAGAAAGCUUUUCCUACUAAUCAGAAGAUUCAUCUAGAGGCUGUUAGAUCAAAAUAACUGAAGUUUACAAGGGGAUUUCACGAAUUCACGCCGAGUACUAUUUUGAACGGAAUAUGUUUUUUUGUUUUUCUUAUACAUUUUCGCAUGUAUAACGUGCAUAUAAGUUAAGUUUUUUGUGUAACAGAUUAGGAUUUUAAGGAUUGUCAAAUCCUAAUUAGGACAUAUAUUAAGUUUUGAUAUGGCAAUAGAUUUCCGUUAUUACAUGUUAUGUUUUCUUGGGUUAUAUCAGCACGAAGUAUUGCGUUAUACAUUUUUUAGUGAUACAACAAAUGUUUAUUACAAAUAUGUUUCUUAUA